GUGCCUAACACAUGCAAGUCGAGCGAGAAAGGGGCUUCGGCCCUGAGUAAAGCGGCGCACGGGUGAGUAACACGUGGGUAAUCUGCCCUAGAGUGGGGAAUAACACCGGGAAACCGGUGCUAAUACCGCAUACGAUCGCGAUGUCUUCGGAUGUUGUGAUGAAAGGAGCAAUUCGCUCUUGGAGGAGCCCGCGGCUGAUUAGCUAGUUGGUGAGGUAAUGGCUCACCAAGGCUGCGAUCAGUAGCCGGUCUGAGAGGACGGUCGGCCACACUGGAACUGAGACACGGUCCAG
rnacentral:rRNA from 1 species